GAGGGUAUAGCUCAAGCGAUAGAGCACACACUUAGCAUGCGUGAGGUCCUGGGUUCAAUUCCCAGUACUGCCU
rnacentral:tRNA from 1 species